rnacentral:rRNA from 1 species
UGGGGAAUAUUGGGCAAUGGCCGAAAGUCUGACCCAGCAACGCCGCGUGAAGGAAGAAGGCUUUCGGGUUGUAAACUUCUUUUAAGGGGGAAGAGUAGAAGACGGUACCCCUUGAAUAAGCCACGGCUAACUACGUGCCAGCAGCCGCGGUAAUACGUAGGUGGCAAGCGUUGUGCGGAUUUACUGGGUGUAAAGGGCGUGCAGCCGGGAAGGCAAGUCAGAUGUGAAAUCUGGAGGCUCAACCUCCAAACUGCAUUUGAAACUGCUUUUCUUGAGUAUCGGAGAGGUAAUCGGAAUUCCUUGUGUAGCGGUGAAAUGCGUAGAUAUAAGGAAGAACACCAGUGGCGAAGGCGGAUUACUGGACGACAACUGACGGUGAGGCGCGAAAGCGUGGGGAGCAAACA